UACGGGGGGAGCAAGCGUUGUUCGGAUUUACUGGGCGUAAAGGGCGCGUAGGCGGUCGUGACAAGUCACUUGUGAAAUCUCCGGGCUUAACUCGGAACGGUCAAGUGAUACUGUCGGACUAGAGUACAGAAGGGGCAACUGGAAUUCUCGGUGUAGCGGUGAAAUGCGUAGAUAUCGAGAGGAACACCUGCGGCGAAGGCGGGUUGCUGGGCUGAUACUGACGCUGAGACGCGAAGGCCAGGGUAGCGAACGGG
rnacentral:rRNA from 1 species